rnacentral:rRNA from 1 species
UACGUAGGGUGCGAGCGUUGUCCGGAAUUAUUGGGCGUAAAAGGGCUCGUAGGCGGUCUGUUGCGUCAGGAGUGAAAACUCGGGGCUUAACCCCGAGCCUGCUUCUGAUACGGGCAGACUAGAGGUAUGCAGGGGAGAACGGAAUUCUCGGUGUAGCGGUGAAAUGCGUAGAUAUCGAGAGGAACACCUGCGGCGAAGGCGGGUGCUGGGCUGACACUGACGCUGAGGCGCGAAAGCUAGGGGGAGCGAAACGGG